CAGCUACUUUCUCCUCUUCAUUUCAGCCUCGUUGUACACAUGGAACAUUGGCUGUGGAUUAUUCUUGCUGCUCUUUGCUUUGAGUGUAAAGGAGAAGACAGAGUGAUCCAGCCAACAGCAGAUGUCAUUGCUACUGAAGGAGACACAGUUACACUGGACUGUACAUUUGAGACCAGUUACUCAGGUUCCACUUUGUUCUGGUACAAACAAGAAGAAAAUGAUUUCCCCAAACUUGUGCUUCGACGGUUCUCUGGAGGAACAAGUAAAAAUGAAGAGCAAGAAAGAAUUGAUGCUACAGUCAACAAGACAUCAGUUCCUCUGAAGAUCCAGAAGCUUCAGCUGUCUGACUCUGCUGUGUACUACUGUGCUCUGCAGCCCACAGUGACAGGAAACAGCAAAACUCUGCACAAAAACCUCUGCAGCAAACACAACACAAUACUCCACAACGUCCACUAGAGGGAGUCACACACUGCUCAAUUUCAACAGGAUGUGAU